CGCGAAGAACCGUCUCUUCCUGUCAGACGGAAUGAAGAAAUAUUGGUCGAAAGAUAACGAAACAGUUAAAUAUAGUGAUGCAUGUUGUCACAAUAUAAGGACAGGAAACAAUCAUUUGUACGGUCGGACACGUCACCGGUCUGAGCUGUUUUGGGACCAACUCCCUGUGUCUACAUGGUUAGGGCUAUGAUUACACAUCAGGGAAAAAACGUCAUGUGACCACUUCGCAUCAGCUUUUUCUUGCCCACGUUUGUGCCUUUGAUCCUGAGCCGCUCUUCAUGGCCGAUGAAUGGAGCGCUGUGCUGACUCACGUCUCCCCUUCAGAAAGCUGUCAGUCAGAACCGCUGUGUCAGCCCGACGGUCAUUACCCUGUGAUCGAUUCGGCCUGACCGCAGAGCCUCUGAUGCAUCACCGCAGGAGUCUUUGUAGCCCUUCCAGGUGUAAUGU